UAGGCUAUACAUGUUGAAAGCGAGGAGUAAUAUCCUGUCUCCUUGGUAUAGCCCCCAGUUGGGGCUGUGCUGGACACUGCUCUCUGGGCAUCGGGUCAGCUGGCUCCAUCUCUACAUUUAUUCUUUACUUUUG